GACGAACGCUGGCGGCGUGCCUAAUACAUGCAAGUCGAGCGGAAGUUGGAGAGCUUGCUCUUCAACUUUAGCGCCGGCCGGGUGAGUAACACGUGGGCAACCUGCCCUGCAGAUCGGGAUAACUCCGGGAAACCGGUGCUAAUACCGAAUAGUUUUCGCCACCUCCUGGUGGCGUACGGAAAGACGGUUUCGGCUGUCCCUGCAGCGUGGGCCGGCGGCGCAUUAGCUAGUUGGUGGGGUAACGGCCCACCCAGGCGACGAUGCGUAGCCGACCUGAGAGGGUGAUCGGCCACACUGGGACUGAGACACGGCCCAGACUCCUACGGGAGGCAGCAGUAGGGAAUCUUCCGCAAUGGACGAAAGUCUGACGGAGCAACGCCGCGUGAGUGACGAAGGUUUUCGGAUCGUAAAACUCUGUUGUGAGGGAAGAACAAGUACCAAUUAACUACUGGUACCUUGACGGUACCUCACCAGAAAGCCACGGCUAACUACGUGCCAGCCGCCGCGGUAAAAC
rnacentral:rRNA from 1 species